UUUCCUUUUGAACAUUCCCCUCCUGUGUCCCAUUAGCAGAACAAAGAAAUAUGUCACACACGCCCGGCCGGCCGGGCAGACAAAACACUGAAGCCAUUUUGUUUCAAGGAGCAGCCAUCCUGUUUUUUGACUACUGCUAAGGUGGACUUCAUCUGUCUUUAUUUGCCGCAACCACGUCAUUCAAUGUAGUGAUCCACAGUCCCGUCUGUCGCGGAGAGAGCCAAAAGCAAAGAGUGAGCUGGCCAGGAAGUCAAACAUCUGGAAGAAGAUGAAGAUGAUGACGGAGGGGAAACAAACUGGGGACACGGGGAGGAUCUCAAUUGGAAAAAAGAAAUAGAUAGAAACGCAAUCAAUACCGCAGGUGUCGAAUGUCCCACGCGGAUGUCUCAUCAAACCUUCCAGUGCAGAAUACCAAGCAGAUGUGACGCCAGCAUAACACCCAAGAAAAGGAUGUCUGAGCCCCAAGCCAUCAUUUGACCUCCCCCGCUCCGCCCCGCCCCGUCCCGUCCCAUCUGUAUCCCGGACAGCUGUCAGCAGAGACCUGGACACAGAAAGACCCAUCUGUCACCUUCCUUCAAAGGUCACGCCAGUGUGACUGUGUUUGUGUGUGGGAAGCUUCUUUUGCCGUGGCUAAUCUCUGCUGUUGCUCGCGCUCCCCGGCACACUUGUGAGGGUGAGCAAUACUGCCCGGCCCGGCCCGGCCCGCAUACCUCCUCAUUUGUUUGACCCUCAGCAGAAUUGAUUUCGACGAUUUGCCUAUUCAAUUGGCUGUUUUAACAGCAGCAGCACACUGGGAAGGAAGGCCGCGCGGUCGUUCAAAUGUCAGUUUGCAUCCUGCGUCUUUGCUCACGCUGAUUAGAUGGCUCCCAUUUCAAAGCCACGCUAUUUUGGUUGGUGGUGAAUCAAUGAUUCCUUAUUUAAGUUUUCAUAAGAGUAGACAGCUGGGAUUUGCAUCUUUUGGAUUAUUUGCUUCAUAUUGUUGAUCAUUGCAACUGGUGAUAACAGAUUCAGUUAUUUGACUGCAACUAUUGCCGGCGUGUAGUCAACAUUGAACAAUACUACAACUAUAUUGGGUCACUCCUAUUUUCCUCAAUCUUGAUUUUAAUUCAACCCCAUUGUAUACAUUAUGUCAGACAUCGGAUGAGUAGAAACAAAGGAGGGCAUACAGAGGAGAUUUAGGCUGGAGUAGGGUUAGUUAUGCAAACGCUUUAUUGGCGGGAACAAAGAGGCAUUCUGAGAAGAAAGAGUAAGUAGGAAAAGUGGCCUGGCUUUCAAAGGGCCAUGAUCAUGACGACGCAACUCCUCAAGUCAACCACAGUCCUGGGAUCACAAUCGGUCCUGUUAAGGAAACAAUCUGGGAAGGAAAUUUAAUUCCAGCAUGAGGGAGGUCACCGCCCUAUUUCAAUGGAUCUGACAGGCUGUUUACAUGUUGUGGUGCAAUAAUAUGGUUCAGCGGGAGAUUAGAUAGCGUCCAUGUGUGAAUGAUAGCGACGGACUGGGCUAAUCACACAAAGCACACCUUUUUUUUAUUCCGUCUAUUGGAGGACCCAAGUCAAAUUCCUUCUUUGGCAUGCUCAAACAUGGCCAAUCGAAAUUCUUGAAAUGUGCUACAUUAAGAUGUCAUAUCAUCAUAUACUAUUUUGCCAGUGCAAUAAUAGAUCUCAAAUGCACCUUUGACUCAAUCGCUGAAACACACUCACGCGCAGAAACGGCACACGUGCAAUUUAUUUACAGGAAGUCGUUUUAUAGAAGGAGCUUGUAUAAUUAAAGAAGGAUGGAGGGAACACAAGGCCCUGGGGGGGAUUUCAGAGCGAAGCAAAAGAAAAGGAAAGGAGUGGGAAGGAGAGAGAGACAGAGAGGCUUUUGAGAGCUGCUGUGGGCAGUUUGCAAAACGCUGCAGGAGGCUUUGGGGUUAUUGCAAUACAUGGCGCACGCGUGUGCAUGUGUGUGUGUACACUAUGCUUGAGUGUCAUGCUCUCACCUUCCUACAUUUGAUUCAAGAGAAAUACCACGUCCUUUGCUUGGCUUUGAUUUGCUGCAGGGUGCACCAGGAAACCUUUUUUGUUUUGUUUUUUACACCUAACUUUGGCAACACUCAUGAAAAGUCUGUUGACGGAACAUCAGGGCAAGAAUGACGCUGUGAAUGUUGAAUGCCACUUCAAGAGAGCUUCCCCAUACUAUCUUUCUUUAUCCAUCUCACGUGAACCUGUAUGCAGUUCAAGCUACAUUUACACAAUGGCCUGACAGAUAACACGUAUAUUUUCGGCGCAAAAAAAAAAUACAAAAUAUAGCAAACUACAGCUGACCUCAUGUUAGUCUUCAGAACCAAAAGCUAGUUGACAGUGAACAACAGCGCCUACGUCUGACACAAUCCAAAGAAUUCUUCAUCGUGAAGACACUACCUCAAAGUUUCACCGGAAAGAUUCUGACAAAAGGAGAAAAGUGAAAUUCUCCGAAGAAGAAGAAUGGAGCGAGAGCACGCACGUCACAGUGGCUCACGACUUGACCUUUAAACAUCCUGCUUCCUCUGCCAGCCACGCUGCGAGUAAGACACCUCGAAAUCAAAGCUCAUAUCACUAGCAUACAUCAUCAUCCUAUGCCAGUUGAUCACUUUAGUAAGAAAUACUCUGCGCCCGAAGCGUUUACACUUGAAACAUUUGAGACCACACGGCUCCAACAUCAGCCCUGGUAAUUGGCCAGAACAAAUGUAGAAAAGAAAGAGAAAAUGACAGCAGAUGGUCGAUUGUCAGGGCGGUACUUUUGGACAGACACGCCGCUGGCGGUCUGGUCUCAACCAAUUCCUGCCUCCCUCAGGGGGGACACGCCGACUUUAAAAGCUCUUUAAUGCAUUGUACACAGGCAUCUGACAAAUUGACAGUGUGCUGCGUUAUAUAAUCACAGUUUAGAGAAGUCCGCAUGAAGAGGAUGUAGCAUUGCAACCUCUCUGAUUUAAUCCACUCCAAAAUAGAUUGCAAUCCAUUUGGGAUUGGGAGCAAAGACGUAUAUUCUGCUGCAGUUUUGGCCCAAUUGUAUGUGUCACGCUGAUGGAAAGAAAUGAAUUGUCAAGAAAUUGGAAAUUGAGAUGAAACACAGACACUGGAAAAUGACGCAAAUGUAUUUUACGCCAAAUUCCCAAUCAAAGUCAAACGCAUCCUGUUUGUUUGCUUCUUAAAUGUCACUGCGGCGGCGGCGGCGGCAGCGGCGGCGGCAGCGGCAGCGGCUGCUGCUUCCGGUCGAUGCAGCCAGACACAGAGUUGGCGUGAGAUUACAACCGUCGUGUGAUUUUAGCUCUAGAAUAUUGCACAGCUAUUGGAAGUAAGUUCCGGUGUUCGAGAGCAGCCCAACAUUGAAUUGACUACAUCAUGAUAAGAACGAUCAUAUUUUGGGUGCCUUGCAAUGUUGCAAAUGACUGGCGCCCCUUCUUCCCCGUUUCGAGGGUGAACAUCAUCCCAUCCCUUGCCUGCUCUGCAUGUUACCAGAAAUAGAACGCUGCACAAGUAGAACACCGACGCGGGAUGGAAAUAGAAGAAAAGGGAAAACGAGCUCCACUGCCACAGAUGGAAUGGAAAGGACAAGGAUUUAUAUUUGCACAACAGCACCAUCUGCUGGAUGUGUUCUGGAAUGCUGGAUUGCGCAUCAUCAACAGAACAUCAUGUCCUUCCAACAUUGGCACCGCCAAUCAUUUUUGAUAGGAGCCAUGAGGAAAUUGUUAGCCAAAGUACACACAAAGAAAUCACGUCAAUUGGCAUUGAAGUGACUGACAUUUGUGUUGAUCACUUCUACUGGAACCAUGAGGAAGUGACGACAAGUGACUCAUAUGAACCAGACUUAAUAGGAGCUUCGAAUGGAUGGAACCUGUUGACCAGAGGCUUUACUGUUUGCGGACUUCCGGAACAUCAUCCAAAAAUAACUUGGAAUGAUGCUCAUGACGAUGAUGAUGAUGAUGACGUUUGUUCAUUUGGAUCCAGAGGCCAGAAGUAGAACAAAAAGCAGAGACGUGUCAAGCGGUUGCACUGAUUUCAAGGAAACAGGGGCAAAUUCACCAAAGCUAUGCUUUGAUUUUUUUUUCCCCCCUCUUGCGUGACCAAUCGUUUUCAGUUGGAAACAUCUACGGCAGGGGUCCCCAAACUUUUUCCUGUGAGGGCCACAUAACCUUUCCCUUCUCUGAUGGCGGGCCGGUGGCAGUUUGUAACAGAAAAAGUGUGACGAUCGUAGGGGAGCUUAAAAAAAUUAUUGUUUUCCAGAAAGCCACACAUAACCAAAUAACGGUUAUUUAAUAACCCUUUCCAGGUUCUUUACAGAAAAAAAGUCAGGAAACAAAUAAUAACACUAUUAAUGAAAUAAAUAAUAACUAAACCCUCUCUGAGUUCUUCACAGAAAAAACAGGAAAUAAAUAACUAAAUAAC